CACUGCCCGUCACGCCAUGGGAGUUGGUUCUACCUGAAUUGGCCGCGCUAACCGCAAGGAGGCAAGCCAACACGGUAGGAUCAAUGACUGGGGUG
rnacentral:rRNA from 1 species